UGUUCACCUCUACUAGUGUCACCUGUAAUCAUAAGGUUCCUGUAUUCGAGUAGUGUUAAAAAGUCAAGUUUAUAUGACACGUAGUAAUUAUAUCUUGCCUAGUAUGAAUAGAAUAACUAUUAAGACUGUAUUGAAGCUAAAUGUUCAGGGUCACAUGUUUUAUGUUCGAAUAAUCAAAUUUAAGAAUGAAAACAUUUAAGUGAAUCUGAAAAUAACAUGACUAGAUAGAAUACCACUGCUGAUACUACACCCUUUCUACGAACGGAGGAACAGCGCCAACACUGCAACAAUGAAGGGUGACGCCAGAGCCAAUGAUGGGGUAAAAAUUAAUGUCAUAGUUGCAAUGAUGGAUCACAACAAUGGUAUAGGGAUCAACAAUCAACUUCCAUGGCCCAAAAUCAGGACAGACUAUGAAUAUUACACUGGGUUGACACAAAGGGUAACAAAACCAGGAAAUGUUUGCAUCAACAUGAAGGGCAGAUUGACGUUUGAAUCUAGUGGGGAACAAGAGAGGAUGAAUCCGUUGAGACACAACGUCGUCAUAAGUUCAACAUUAAAAGAAUGCCCCAAAGGUGUUGGUUUCAUUGCUCCAUCUUUUGAUGCUGCCAUAGAGUAUGCCAGUGAAUAUGCAAAUGCAGAAUCAAUCUGGGUGAUGGGUGGAUAUAGCGUAUACAAGAGAGCUCUCCAGAGUCCGCUUUGUCACAGGGUACACUUGACGAGGAUAUUUCACAAAGCCGAGGCAGAUGCAUUCUUCCCAAUUGACUGCCUGGAACCAUCCAUAUACAAGAAAAUAGAUCUCCCUGAAGUACCAUCUGAUCUGAUAAAGGAAAAUGGUGUGGAGUAUCAAUUUGAGGUGUACGAGAGGCGAUAGUAGUUAACCGAAGGACAUGCUGGAUGAGGGAGAAUGUAAUACCAUCAAACUGCUGAAAUACCCAAAGACAUAUACGUGUAGAGAUAGUAUAUAAAACAGAAACUUGGCACAAUCAAUAUAAUAUUGAAUACUCAACAAAUAAUAAAAUAUGUUUCUCAAUAAAUACAGGGUAGGCCAAAAACGUCUCCAUUUUCAUUUGUUUUACCUUUUUUAAUCAGCCAUGGAUUACAACAAUAUUUUCUCUGAAUUAAGAUGCAGUAUUACUAUUCUACUCAAGAAUUAAUCCUUGGAUUUCUAUAGUAUUCCAUCUGGCUUAUUUUGAUUAGAAAGGUUAACAGACACCAAAAGUGUAAAUGAAAAUGUCUUUUGCAAGGUUAUAUUUGACGUUACAAUUUCACUGCCAUUUUAGUUACUAGUUCGCUUUACAUAGGGAAGCCAAACUUCGAAUAUCUAAACAAUCCAUCGAAUGAAUUGAGGUGAAUAGCUUGAGAAUGAUUGGAAAACUGCUUUAACAUCAGGAAAAAGUAACAGGGGCAAAAACCGAGGAGAAAUAUGGAAGAUUACAUGAGUCCCACUGGCGGGUCCAGAAGCCAACAAGGGGGAAGGCAAAGGAUCUAGUGCACCCUCCAUUGUGAUCUCCCCAUGAACAAAAAUAAAUUCAUCUGAUUUUUCAAAAUAAAUAUACUGCUUUUAUUAUUACAUUUAUAUGUA
rnacentral:misc_RNA from 1 species